GAGGUAUAGUAAUAGCAACACUACCAAAACCAUAACCAGGCACUGGACCCUUAACCACAGACACUGUGGUCUUGGUUACCUCUGUGGUUACUACUUCUGGUUUUGAACUAGGAAGAUCCAUAACACCUUUCUAACAGAAAUGGAGCAUGUCAGGUUCCAGACAGCCAAGCUGAACAAGUAUAAAAAGACACUGUAAAAACUAACAGCAGUGACAUUUUUCCAAAGAAAUGAUGCCCUGUCCCCAUCCUGCUUGUUACAGAAAGGAGAGAAGGAACUCUUGAAAUGCCCAGCCCAGAGGUUCAGAUGUCUGAUGCAAGGCCUAGCAGCUGAAUCAUUAUUCUCCACACAACUGGUCAGCAGAAUACGUGCCUGAAAACGAAGAGGAAAGGGAACGAAACAAGCAGACCAAAAAAUGGGAAGGAAACAUGCUAUUCUCAAGGAAGCGACCAUAGGUCCAGCAAAAAGGGAAGAAAAGGUCCAGCAUAAAGGGAAGGAAAAUCCCUCACAUGGUUUUGGAAAAUUAUAUUCAUUAUUAGCUACAUAUACAGCAAGAAGUUUAUA